AGGUCUACAUCCUAUUGACUGGAGACACUAAUGCUAGUAUUUAACCCUAUAACAUUGGUCUUGAAGGUUUGUAUUACAAGAUAGAGAAAAUUAAAUCACUCUAAGAUCCAACUUUUUGUUUUGCAAACAGAAUGCUGGAAUCAUUCUGUGCCCUUCCCCGCCAUUGUGACUUGCCUUUACUCCCCAUCACCUCUUCCAUGGGACUUCAGAAAGAACCUGACCAACCAUUUGAUGAUUGGAGAGGAAUUGUGCCAACAAAAUCUUUCCAUUUACCUUGUGUCUCCAGUUGGAGUUUCUCUGGAUCAUCAGGAAUGUUUCAAAACUACUGUACUAAAACCUUCAAGAAAAAAGAGCAACAGAAAAUCAAGCCAGAAUCCAAGCUGGAAACCAGGAUAAAUAAAACCGAUAAAUUGGGCAGUAAAGUUAAAAGAAUUGGACCACACACAGAAAUCUUCCAAGGGUUCCAAGAAAGAAGCAGAUUAAUAAUUACCAAAAAAGUAGUUAGGAUGAUUACUCUCAUGCAAGCACGUGUCAGAGGGUGGCUUGAACGCAAGAGACUUCAAAGAAUAAUGGCCAAGGCUUUGUAUCAUGGAUCGAAUUUGAAAGCAGUUAUAGACAUGUAUCGGGGAUUAAUCCACCGUGUUAAAUAUCGACUUGGCCUUUGGAGGACCAGACAAAUUAUUAACCUUGCAGAGCUAGAGGAAUGA
rnacentral:lncRNA from 1 species